UACGGGGGGAGCAAGCGUUGUUCGGAUUUACUGGGCGUAAAGGGCGCGUAGGCGGCGCGACAAGUCACUUGUGAAAUCUCCGGGCUUAACUCGGAACGGUCAAGUGAUACUGUCGUGCUAGAGUACAGAAGGGGCAACUGGAAUUCUCGGUGUAGCGGUGAAAUGCGUAGAUAUCGAGAGGAACACCUGCGGCGAAGGCGGGUUGCUGGGCUGAUACUGACGCUGAGGCGCGAAAGCCAGGGGAGCGAACGGG
rnacentral:rRNA from 1 species